AAUGUUUUAGGUUAACGUAAACCUGUAGCCUUCAAAGUUACUGAUGGGCAAUAUGCUCAAACAUUA
rnacentral:tRNA from 1 species